GACGAACGCUGGCGGCGUGCUUAACACAUGCAAGUCGAACGAGUGGCGAACGGGUGAGUAACACGUGUGUGACCUGCCCUGCACUUCGGGAUAAUCCUGGGAAACUGGGUCUGAUACCGGCUAGUUUGGGAUGGGCCCGCCGCCUAUCAGCUUGUUGGUGGGGUAAUGGCUACCAAGGCGCGACGGGUAGCCGGCCUGGGAGGGUGGGCGGCCACAUUGGGACUGAGACACGGCCCAGACUCCUACGGGAGGCAGCAGUGGGGAAUAUUGCACAAUGGGCGGAAGCCUGAUGCAGCGACGCCGCGUGGGUGAUGACGGCCUUCGGGUUGUAAAGUACUUUCAGCGGGGAGGCGUUACCCGCAGAAGAAGCACCGGCUAACUCCGUGCCAGCAGCCGCGGUAAUUC
rnacentral:rRNA from 1 species